AUCUCGCCCUGACCGAAUCAAUCCAAUGCUAAACGUAAACGGUAGGUCCAGUGGAUAUUAGAGAAGUUUGGUACAUUGAAGGAGGCCACCCUUUAUGUUCCUGUUAAAUUUGAAGAGCUCGUGUGGGAAAGCCUUUCAAGCUGGAAGUUUCGAGCAAAAAGCAAAAUGAUCAUCUUAAAGAUUAUGAAAAGAUGUAAUAAAUUCAAACGCCCAGUAAAGUAGAGAGUUCUACUUCCUGCGAUAUAUACCUGUUGGGUCCAAAAAUCUGCCCAUCCCACCAGAAUUCCAGUUGGGGUCACAGCAGCAAGGGUGAGAAACUGGGGUGCAGGCACAGCAAUCGCACCAUUUGCUGCACCUGUGUCGCAGG